rnacentral:rRNA from 1 species
CGCCUGUUUAUCAAAAACAUCGCCUCUUGUAAAAAUAAAAUAAGAGGUACCGCCUGCCCUGUGACUAACAGUUUAACGGCCGCGGUAUUUUGACCGUGCAAAGGUAGCGCAAUCACUUGCCUUUUAAAUGAAGGCCUGUAUGAAUGGCAUAACGAGGGCUUAACUGUCUCCUUCCCCUAGUCAAUGAAAUUGAUCUCUCCGUGCAGAAGCGGGGAUAAAAACAUAAGACGAGAAGACCCUGUGGAGCUUUAGACGAUAAACAGACCAUGUCAAGGACAAUAACAAGUUACUCAAACAAAUUGGCUACUGUUUUAUGUCUUUGGUUGGGGCGACCGCGGGAUAACAAAAAACUCCCAUGAGGAUAGAGAAAACCCUAUUCUUAUAACCAAGAGCUUCCUCUCUAAGUAACAGAAUAUCUGACCUUAAUGAUCCGGCCUGGCCGAUCAACGGACCGAGUUACCCCAGGGAUAACAGCGCAAUCCUCUUUUAGAGCCCAUAUCGACAAGAGGGUUUACGACCUCGAUGUUGGAUCAGGACAUCCUAAUGGUGCAGCCGCUAUUAAGGGUUUGUUUGUUCAACAAUUAAAGUCCUACGUGAUCUGAGUUCAGACCGG